AAGACGGAGUUGCUAGUAAUCGCGGAUCAGCAUGCCGCGGUGAAUGCGUUCCCGGGCCUUGUACACACCGCCCGUCACACCAUGGGAGUUGAGAGCACCCGAAGCCGGUGACCCAACCGCAAGGAGGGAGCCGUCGAAGGCGAAAUCAAUGACUGGGGUGAAGUCGUAACAAGGUACC
rnacentral:rRNA from 1 species